rnacentral:tRNA from 1 species
UGCGGGGUCGUCCAACGGUAGGACGGCAGACUCUGGAUCUGCUUAUUGGGGUUCGAAUCCCUGCCCCGCAGCCA